GCCGAAGUGGCGGAAUUGGUAGACGCGCACGUUUCAGGGGCGUGUGUCUUCGGGCGUAUGGGUUCGAGUCCCAUCUUCGGCACCA
rnacentral:tRNA from 2 species